GUAAACGGCGGCCGUAACUAUAACGGUCCUAAGGUAGCGAAAUUCCUUGUCGGUUAAAUACCGACCUGCAUGAAUGGCGUAACGAGAUGGGAGCUGUCUCAACCAGGGAUCCAGUGAAAUUGUAGUGGAGGUGAAAAUUCCUCCUACCCGCGGCAAGACGGAAAGACCCCGUGCACCUUUACUAUAGCUUGACACUGCAAUUGGGAUAUAUAUGUGCAGGAUAGGUGGGAUGCUUUGAAACUCUGACGCUAGUUGGAGUGGAGCAAAUCUUGAGAUACCACCCUUAUAUAUUCUGAUUGCUAACUUGCGCCAAUUAUCUUGGCGGAGGACAAUGUCUGGUGGGUAGUUUGACUGGGGCGGUCGCCUCCUAAAAAGUAACGGAGGCUUACAAAGGUUGGCUCAUAUCGGUUGGAAAUCGAUAGCAGAGUAUAAUGGUACAAGCCAGCUUAACUGCGAGACGUACAUGUCGAGCAGAGACGAAAGUCGGUCAUAGUGAUCCGGUGGUUCUGUGUGGAAGGGCCAUCGCUCAAAGGAUAAAAGGUACGCCGGGGAUAACAGGCUGAUCUCCCCCAAGAGCUCACAUCGACGGGGAGGUUUGGCACCUCGAUGUCGGCUCAUCACAUCCUGGGGCUGAAGCAGGUCCCAAGGGUACGGCUGUUCGCCGUUUAAAGUGGUACGCGAGCUGGGUUCAGAACGUCGUGAGACAGUUCGGUCCCUAUCUGCCGUGGGCGUAGGAAGAUUGAGGAGAGUUGCCCCUAGUACGAGAGGACCGGGGUGAACGAACCACUGGUGUACGGAUUGUUCUGCCAAGAGCAUCGUCCGGUAGCUAUGUUCGGAUGUGAUAACCGCUGAAAGCAUCUAAGCGGGAAGCCAACUCCAAGAUUAAUCUUCCCUGAAGAUCCCUCGAAGACUACGAGGUUGAUAGGCUGGGUGUGUAAUGGGCGUAAUCCCUUUAGCUGACCAGUACUAAUAGAUCGUUUGGCUUAUUUAU
rnacentral:rRNA from 1 species